UACGUAGGGGGCUAGCGUUGUCCGGAAUCAUUGGGCGUAAAGCGCGUGUAGGCGGCCCGGUAAGUCCGCUGUAAAAGUCCAGGGCUCAACCCUGGAACGCCGGUGGAUACUGUCGGGCUAGAGUCCGGAAGAGGCGAGUGGAACUCCUGGUGUAGCGGUGGAAUGCGCAGAUAUCAGGAGGAACACCGAUGGCGAAGGCAGCUCGCUGGGACGGUACUGACGCUGAGGCGCGAAAGCGUGGGGAGCGAACAGG
rnacentral:rRNA from 1 species